GCCUCUACUGUCCCACCUGCAGACAGGGACCAUAAGGUCCCCACCUUUCGCUGGAAUAUCAGGGCUGGGCAGGCUCAUGAGGCCCUGAUGGACGGAUGAGGAAGCAGAUGGACCUGGAGAGGGGAGGGGAUUGCCCUCUGUCACCCAGCGUGCCAGCAGCCAGCAGGGUGGGGACCCAGGCUCCCAGGCUCCCAAGCUCCAGGAUCUGCCCACUGGGGCUGGCCUCCAGCCACAGCUCUGCCCCCAGAAAGCUGCCUCCUCCGUCAGCCUUGCCGCAGAUGUGAGGCCUGGGCCGGGGCUCAGGGGCCUGCUCCUCCGCUCCUGGGGAAGGAGCUUCAAGUAAUGGCACACAGGGACCCUCAUGUCAUCCUACCUCCUUUCUGUCAUCAGCAACCCCGUGAGGAUGGGUUUGUCACCCUUGUGCAGAAGACAGAACCGAGGCUCGAGAGGAGGACGGACUUUCCCCAAGACUCACAGUGGACACGGAACAGAGCUGGGAUCUGAGCGCUUGUCUCUGUGCCCCGGGCUGCUCUGCUGGGCGGCCUCUCCUUCCUGCCAGCUCCCUGCUCCCUCCAGCCAGACCAGCUCUUGUCCCCCAUUGGAUCCCAGGGCCGCAGCUGGGCACACAGUAGGUGCUCAGAAAAUGUUCGUGGGGUGGCUGGAUGGCCUGGGGAGAAAGUACAGGCUGGGCCAGCGCGGCCUCAUUCAAAGCCCUUUCCUGGCCAGGACAGCGCCCCCUCUUCAGGCAACCUCAACACGACGGCCCUUGGACAUCCUCCAGUUCCCGUGCGGUGACCGAGGGAGGCCUGGCUCCCUGCAGGCCUGCCCCCUGCCCCGACCAUGCCCAGCCCAGCAAGGAGACUGAGAAAGGCUUCAGGGGCACGGUGACAUUUAAGUUGUUUCUUGGUGGUGAACAUGGAGAAUCUGAACAGGAAGACACUGCGAUGACAAGAGAGCAGGAGGACAUCUCAGAUCGUGGACAUAGAGCGGAGUGACCACCGUGUAAGAAGCGGGAGGGAGGGUGGAGGUCGGGGAGCGGGGAUCUCCUGACUCGGCAUUUUAGGAAUCCACCCGUUAGCACUCCCAGGACUGGAUGGGUCCUCACGGCCACCUCUACGGUUUCAUAGAAACAUUCUCUGGCCGUCUAUUCUGUGCCCGGCUCUUGGUGAGGCACUGGCGGUGGAACUUAUAAAACGUAUAUAAACAAUCAACUACAGUAAAAGGCAAAUGAACUGUGUGCUGAGAAGAAGGAUGGGGACCAGCAUGUGUUGGGCACUUGCCACGGGCUGGGCACUCUGCAUUCACUCCUCUUGUCCAAAGAUAUUGCAACGAUAUCCCAUUCCACAUGCUCUUUUGCAAUGUCACCAUACCACUUGCCCAUCAAGAAUGGGUGUAUAUUUCUCCUCCCCUUGAAUCUGGGUUGACCGUGUAACUUCUGAGACUGGGCCUUAAGACAAUGGCAGCAUGUCCACCUUCCUGCUGGGAAUGCUCUUCUUGAGGACCAUCUGUGUCUGACCACCAGUGACCAUGCUCUGAGGAAGCCCAAGCCAGUCACGAGGGGAGAGGCUGUGUAGACGGGCCCUAGUGUCACGUGCGCUGAGCUGUCUUGGGCCUUUUAGUCCAGCCCAUCCACCAGCCAGGAGAAUGAGCCCAGGGGACCCCUGGUGGACUAGGACCAUCCAGGCCUGAACUCCUUACGCACAGAAUGAUGAGCAAAUAAAAUGGUUGCUUUUGUAAGUCUGGGAUCGCUU
rnacentral:lncRNA from 1 species